rnacentral:tRNA from 1 species
GGAGGUAUAGCUCAAGUGAGAGUGCAUGCUUAGCAUGCAUGAGAUCCUGCGUUCAAUCCCCAGCACCUCCU